UUACUAUUCAUUUCAAAAACAUGUGCUGCUCACAUGUUCUCACUCCCAUUUCACUGCACGCUUCAUUCACGUGAUGGAAUGCUUCCUUCUCCUCCUCAAUCUCGCAGCUCCUUAGUUGGUCUCAAAAUUCAAUCCAUUUCUGCACUUGCUCUUCCUCUCUCCUUUUUUUGCGAUCUCAUCUUUUCUCUCUCCUCUUCUACGCCUGCAAUCAGAUCUUCUUCCCCUGUAAUCAGAUCUUCUUCCCCAUAUGAAGGCUAAUUUCACAAGCAAGCAUCAUCUAAGGUAUGAGUUGUUUAUUUUUUUUUAUUUUUUUUCUGAUUUUCGUUCAUAUGGGAAAACCUAGAAAUGGAUCUCUUAUCUAGCUUCUUCAUGUUUUGGUUUGUUUAAGUUUGAUGUGCGUUUUGCAAUUAUUUUUUGUUCACUUCUUGAUUUGAUUUUGGGUUCCUCAUAUUUAUGAAUCUUUUAGAUCUAUUGUAUGUUUUUCUGAAAUCGAGUGGAAAAUUAUGUCAAACUUGGAUCAACAAAGCAUGAACUGAUUGAAUUUCACCCUUUUGAGUGAAUUGUGAUUGAAUUUUGAGUGAAUUUUGAUUGAAUUUUGGGACGACCAAUCUGAAAUUGAUUACUUUUACUGUUGAUGUGAAAUUAGGGUUUCGGAUUUUUUUUGCAGAGAACUGUGUAUCCUCUUGAUUUCUUCAUCUUCGUUUGAGGUGUUGUCGUCAUCCUCCAUUACGGCUUCGCAACAGCAGCAACAACAGCAACAUUUCAACGACAACAACAACAUUAGAGAUAAGUUAGUGUUUAAUGCUUGACUUUUUUUAUCUAAAUUUUGGAUUUUGGGAUUUUUUUAGUUGUAUUUCCUAGCUGAGGAAUCGCUGUUGUAUUCUCUUUCUCUGGUUUUUUUUGCCAUUGCUAUGGAGUUUUCUGUUUCUUUAGGUGAAAUGCUCUUGAAAACAAGGAGCUUGUUUAUCGAAAGUUACUGGUAUUGGAUUAGUGGUGGUGCAUUACUAUGAUUUUGGUGAUUUGUUUUGGGGUUUUAAAGCUAAAAAAUUGUGAUGAGGAACACAGGAGGAAGAAGAAGAGAAGUUGGAUGGUGGUUGUGGUGGCGCCAGGGAGGAGACCGAAGGAAGCAGGAAGAAGGAAGAAGAAUGGAGGAGGACAGGGAGAGCUAUUGUAAGUUAUUCUUCAUCUUAGACAUUUUUUUUCGCUAUGUUCAGAUGCUUUUUAUUGCUAAAUUAUUGAAAAUGUGACAAAAAAUUGGAGUAAAUGUUUGAAAAUCAGAUGAUUUUUAUUGCUAAAUUAUUGAAAAUGUGACAACUAAUGGUUUCAUACUGGGUAUGUGAUUUUUUCUUUUUGCACUUUAUAUUUAAAGGUCACAUGUUUGAUUGGCGAAAUCUUACUAUGAAUGGAGUUGGCUCACCUAUCCAUGAAUUUCAGUUCCAUGAAUUCCACCCUAAACUACUCCCUAAACUAAUCCACAAAUUUGAGUUUCCUCUUGGUAUGUUUAUUUGUAUCUGAAUUCCAGUUCACAUUUCAAUUUCGUGUGGCUCUUUUCUUUUGAAUGAACUUGAUUAGAAGUUCGCAAACCAAACCCACCUUCGCUCCAAUCUCUCUCUCCGUUCAGGUAUUCUUCUUUCAUUUAUAGGUUGGAUAAUUGUGGUGAGCUUCUUUUGUUUAUCUCAUUGAUAUUUUGGACUUGGACCAUGAAACAACAGCUUACAGUUUUGUUGCCAUCUUUGUUGAAUUUUGAUAAAAACAAGCUUUAGAGUUGUGUUAUUUAUGAAAUUAUUGUUGGUUUUUUCUGCUUUGGUGAUUUCGGGCCUUUUCUCAAAGCAUGGAAUUGAACUUGUGUGUGUUGGGGCUCUUCUGCUUGCAAGAUUAGUGACAACUGAAAAGGUGCAUGUUUGUAUUACACAUAUUUGAUACGUGAAGGAGUAUGGUUAAGUUUAUAAGUAUAUCGUGAUUGUUUAGCUGGUGCAGUCAUGAGUCCUACCUUUCUUUUCUCCCCAAGAAUUCAAGAUCGAAACUAACUGGUUUUUAGGGCUUCAUGCUGCCUCACGUGCUUUACUCACGAUAUUAUAUGAUAGAAUGGAGGAAUUUGUUUCCAUCCAUGCUGAAAAAAUAGUGAUCAAGUUUACUAAUCUGAUAAGCUUUUGUUUCCAAGCUUUGUUUCCCCCUCUUUUUUUUUUAUCCCUUUUCCUGUUUCGCUGUCUAAUUUUUCUCUCCUUCUGGAUAUGUCUUUGUACAGAUGCUUUCAUCCAAGGACAUGAGUUUUGUGGGCUACACUUACUGUUUCCACCGAUUUCUUCUUAGAAUUUUGCUCUGAUAUAUCUCACAACCAAAAAACUUUGGCAGUAUACACAUAAACAACCCUUUUAAUUGAAGAAAGUGGUUAGGUUUAGCCGUUUAGUCCUCAUUUCAUCAUCUUCAUUCGUCUCUUCUUCUAAACACUCUUUUCUUUGGUUGAUUACACCUUUUUUUGGGUCAUGUGUCUUCACUCAUUGAUUAAAUUGCACUAAAACACACUCUUUUUCACACUUUUUGCAACAUUUGGUCCUCUUAAAACCAAAAGAUUGAGAAUUUUAUUUUAAAGGUUCAAAUUUUCUCCCAACUUGAAGCUUUUGAAGUGGAAAUUUGGACUUUCUGUAAUCUGGGUUUUUAAAUUUUGGAGGUGGGGUUUUUAAUUUUGGAACUUAUAAUGCUUGUUUUAGGAGGUGGGUCUUGUGGUUUCUUCUGUUUGAUGGGUUUUUUGCCUUGCAAUUAAAUUUCUAGAAGAGAAGAAUAUUCUGUUCCAAUGGCUUGAUAAUUGGGCCUGAAGAAUUUUCAAUCAUUUUGGGGAGGGUUUGCUGAUGAAUGAGACAUGGAUAAAAUUAUUCAACAUCCUUUGUGAAGUUGCUCCUCGAUAAUUGCUGUGAGAUGAGCCAAUGAUAACAAACAAAGAAUCCAAGCUGGCAGGGUAUUUGAAACUCUUCUUAUGUCUUAGAAACGGUGCCUUUAUAACGUUUUUAUCGAUUUUUUCGCCCUUGUUAGUAAAACAUCUUGAGUUAGCCAUGUAUUUAGGUCUCUAUUUUGCAAUCAUAAAUACUAGAUAGAAGUUGCAUAGUGCUAGAAAUUUCAAGGAGUUUUUUUUUUUUUACAUUUAAAAUAUUACUUUAGUUAACAUUGUAGUGAUACCCGGCAAAGCUUUUGUGAUGCAAUGGGUUCCAUGUAAACUAGAGAUGAGAUUUAGCCAGUUGUCUUUGAUAAAAGUUGCACCAAGUGAGGGUCAUAUUACAUAAGAUAGCUGAGUACAUCAAAAAUGUCUGCUUCAAGGUCCAGCUUCAAGGUCCAGCUUUUGCAUGCAUGUCAAGAGAGAGGCUAACACGAUGGCUCACAUGCUGGCUAAAUACGGAAUGGAAAUGGAGGAGAAUUCGAAAAUUCAUGUUCUUGUUCCGGAUUAGGUUUAAGGAGGCAAUGAAGAGGGAUUUGUUGGGUGUAACUAUUUUAGAGGCUUAGGGUGGGGACGGGUUUCCAUUUCGGAUGUGAUAUGAUGUUCCCAGUUGUCUGAGUGCAAGUGUGUGGGUAUUGGUAGUAUGACGAAACUGUUAAGUUGUAAGAAUGCUUAUGUUCAAUUAAUUUACAGCUCUGCAAUUAAAAAAGUGUGUUAAUAGUAGACUAGCAGAUGUUUCCAAUGAAAAGCGUGUUGCUGGAAAGGAAUUGUUUUUGUGGGUGUGUGAGUAUAUACUAUCUUGACUAGGAAAUUUAUUACAUACUCAUUUUUUUCUUUCAAGAUGAACUCAAUUUUUUCAACAAAGUUGUACAAGAAUUCAAGACCCUCCAGGCCAUACUCCUCAUACAAGCGUGCCAAAA